rnacentral:rRNA from 1 species
UGGGGAAUCUUGCGCAAUGGGCGAAAGCCUGACGCAGCGACGCCGCGUGAGGGAAGAAGGCCUUCGGGUUGUAAACCUCUUUCAGGAGGGACGAAGCCACUCGGGUUAAUAGCCCAGAGGGUGACGGUACCUCCAGAAGAAGCCCCGGCUAACUACGUGCCAGCAGCCGCGGUAAUACGUAGGGGGCAAGCGUUGUCCGGAUUUGUUGGGCGUAAAGAGCGUGUAGGCGGCCUGGAAGGUCAGCUGUGAAAACUCGAGGCUCAACCUCGAGACGUCGGUUGAAACCACCUGGCUAGAGUCCGGAAGAGGAGUGUGGAAUUCCCGGUGUAGCGGUGAAAUGCGCAGAUAUCGGGAAGAACACCCGUGGCGAAGGCGGCACUCUGGGACGGUACUGACGCUGAGACGCGAAAGCGUGGGGAGCGAACAGGAUUAGAUACCCUGGUAGUCCACGCUGUAAACGAUGGGUGCUAGGUGUGGGGGGUGUCGACUCCCUCCGUGCCGAAGCUAACGCAUUAAGCACCCCGCCUGGGGAGUACGGCCGCAAGGCUAA